GACAGUUGGACGUUAGGAAAAAGUUCCUAACUGGUUAAACACUGGAAUAAAUUGCCUAGGGAGGUUGUGGAAUCUCCGUCUCUAGAGAUAUUUAAGAGUAGGUUAGAUAAAUGUCUAUCCGGGAUGGUCUAGACAGUAUUUGGUCCUGCCAUGCGGGCAGGGGACUGGACUCGACGACCUCUCGAGGUCCCUUCCAGUCCUAGAGUCUAUGAAUCUAUGAUGGUCCCCUCUGGGGGCCCCAGCCCAUGGGGAGGGAGCCCAGCACCCUGACCUUGUCUUCCCACCCGGCAGCCCGGCCCUCCCUGACCCUGCAGACAGUGGUGACACCGGCGGGGCUGGGCGCCCUGCAGGUCCGGGUGAGUCGCUACUACCCCCCCAACAUCACGGUGGAAUGGCUGCGGGACAGGGCGAUCCUGCACAGCAUGGAAUCACUCCCCACACGGGCACCGGACGGGUCCUUCACCCUCCGCAGUAGCUACAUCCUCGACCGCCCAGAGCCCGACACCCGGGUCGCCUUCACCUGCCGCGUGCAGCACCCGGCGCUGCCCACCCCGCUGGCGCAGAGCGUCACCUGGAAAGAGACAGACGUCAUAAGUCAAGACAGAACCCCAAACAAAGGACCCGAACCAAGCCCAACUCGGGUCUGGAUGUGGUUAUGGCUGGCCAUGGUGCCCCUACUGGUCGUGGUCUUGCUGUGCAUCGGGUACUGGAGCUAUCGCAUCAGCAUGUCCUCGAUCCGUGCCUGGGAGUGUUUGCCGGAGGGCAGCGCGACAGCACUGCUCUGCGAGGCGGAGGGGAGGCUCCGCGACACAGACAGCCUGACCUGGAGGAGCAAGCGCCAGGGGAAGGAGCUGGGGGCUGGGCAGCCCGGGGAGCUGAACACGCUGAUGCCGAAGCUGGAGCAGCACCGCGUGGUGACGUGGCGGCGCGACCUCGGGCUGGGCAGGCGGCGGCUCACGUCGGUCCUCACCAUCCAGACCCCGCGCGAAGACGACACUUUCAGCUGCACGUUCCAAGGCGCGAGGGGCAUGAAGCAGACACACAUCACAAUCCCCGGCGUGCUGGCGGGUGGCCCGCUUCUGGAUGGAGACAUGGCCAUUUUUUGACCGUCGUGCACUCACGCUACGGCCGGUGCUGGGGAGAGAGAGAGAGCCAGCUGCAAACUGCUUGGAGAGGAGAGAACAAACUGACCCCUUGUGAUGCUGUGUGAUUGACAUGUGACUGUGUACAGCCUUGGUGUGGCCACUGUGCUCCAACUGCAAGAGAACUUGUACCACGUACGUCAGGUCCGGUGUCACUGGAAAAGUUGCGAAUUGCUAAGUAUGGAUAUCCUGCUUAUAUGUGUACCACCCCCCCGCCCCCGUCCACUGGCCCAGUGUGAGGUUGUUCCAGAUAGGGGAAGCCUCUUUGUGACCUUUUACACAACUUUAGGGGACUGGGCCUGAGGCUCCUUUGUGUGCUCUGCGUUGUGUGUCAGUGUGUUCACCUCAGCCCAGACCCACGCAGACAAACCACCAGAGAGCGCGACCGCACUGUCCCUUUAAGGCGCUUUAAGCUGCUAAGUGUCGACUCAGGCUACGGCUACACGAGAGAGUUCAAAGCGCUGCCACCUGAGUGCUCCCGCAGCAGCACUUUGAUGUGCGAGUGGGGUUGUGCGCGAGACAGCUCUCCCAGCGCUCCUCGUAAUCCACCUCCACGAGGGGAGUCGCUCCGAGCGCCGGGAGCCUGUCUACACUAGCGACUUUAAAGCGCUCAGACUUGCUGCGCUCAGGGGGGUGAUUUUUCACCCCCCUGAGCAGCGGCGGCUCCAGGCACCAGCGCCCCAAGCGCAUGCCUGGGGCAGCAAGCCGUGGGGGGCGGCCUGCCGGUCCCUGC
rnacentral:lncRNA from 1 species